GACGAACGCUGGCGGCGUGCUUAACACAUGCAAGUCGAACGGAAAGGCCCUGCUUUUGUGGGGUGCUCGAGUGGCGAAAGGGUGAGUAACACGUGAGUAACCUGUCCUUGACUUUGGGAUAACUUCAGGAAACUGGGGUUAAUACCGGAUAGGAGCUCCUGCUGCAUGGUGGGGGAUGGAAAGUUUCGGCGGUUGGGGAUGGACUCGCGGCUUAUCAGCGUGUUGGUGGGGUAGUGGCUUACCAAGGCUUUGACGGGUAGCCGGCCUGAGAGGGUGACCGGCCACAUUGGGACUGAGAUACGGCCCAGACUCCUACGGGAGGCAGCAGUGGGGAAUAUUGCACAAUGGGCUGAAGCCUGAUGCAGCAACUCCGCGUGCGGGAUGACGGCCUUCGGGUUGUAAACCGCGUUCGCCUGUGACGAAGCGUGAGUGACGGUAAUGGGUAAAGAAGCACCGGCUAACUACGUG
rnacentral:rRNA from 1 species